rnacentral:lncRNA from 1 species
UCUCUUUUAAUAUUCAUAAUGUAAAUAUAUAGGACAUGUGGCAGGCAUCUUUGGUAUCCUCUGCUUUUGGGGAUUUUACAGGGCUGAGAUACUUCUGUAGGAUGUUAGAGAUUUUUGAGAAAAAUGGUUUCACUCAUAACUCAGGAAUAGGCCCAAUAUGUCUGUCAAGAUAGAAAGCAAAAUGAGCUUAGCUGGAAUCUGAACACUCUUCCUCUCCCCUCUUUGCUGGGCAGCUGCUGAAGAAUGGUUUUGGUUGACUGAAAUGUUGUUAAGAAGUUCUCAACUGGACAUAGGGCAUUGCCCUCACUAGCCUACAAAACUGCAGCCAUGAUUCUGAAAUGGCAAACUGGCCAUUUCUUUGGUUCACACAGGUCAAAAACUGCCAAUAAGGGGUUUCAGGCUUUGUAAAUCACAAGAUGGAAAUGGUAAACCCAACAGUGUCUGUGUGCUAUGUAAAAUCACAGAAGUUACGCUUUAUAUCUGAAAUUUGUAAUGUUAUUUGUAAUUUUUAACUGCAGCUCUCAGUCCUGAUUCAGUCCCUGAUUCCCUUCAGCAUGCAAGCUGUGCUUAGUUCCAAAAUGUGAGUGGCUCAUGGGCUGCCAUUUACCUGCUGGCCAUCGAGUCUCAUCAGGAGCUGUUUUUCACUCAAAGGGAAGAGUAAAUAGAGACAUUUUUUUUCCCUGUCAUGGGAGCUUGCUGAUGUCUUUCUGCUGGAAGAAUGUUGAUGCUGUUUGGUAG